rnacentral:lncRNA from 1 species
AAAACAUUUUUUUCUCAUCUUCAUGUGUUUUACCAUUAUACUUUAUACUCCAUCUAGCCAAUAAGUACACCACCAUUUCAUACUUAUUACAUGGAAAUACACCAUACAGUGAUACGAUUCUUCAUCAGAAGGCAAAAAGAAAGGACUACAUAACUGAACUCAGAUUGUAAACUUCAUGCAUUGAAUAGCAGCAAUGGACACCCCAGCACCCAUCACUCUCCUGGAAUAAUAACAGAGGAAAUAACAAGCUGAAUUAACUAACACCAUUACAUACACUACGCGUGUCAAGGAACUGAACUUUGUAUUUUACAAAAAAGCUCAAUCAUGCACGUACCUUCAUCCAUUACAUACACUACAUGUGUCAAGGAACUGAACUGGGACCUUUGUGCAUGCACCUGAUAACUCAGCCUCUUCCUCCCCUUCAAAAAAGAAAUAAAUCAUAAUUUACGUUGAAGCGGUCAUCCAUGGUGGAUUUUUUCCAGAUUUUCCAUCCAAUAAGGGACAGAGAUUGUUGACUAGUGACAAGAAAAAGAGAAGGGCAUGUAUAGUGUCACACACACACACACCAACCAACCGUGUUCCCUUUUUCCAUCUGGACUCAACAUGUUCCUUCAUCAGUCUUUCCAGGAAAUUGCCAGGCUCAGAUCCCUUUGCUUUGGUGACUUUUUUUUAUCAUUACAUGUAACGGUGAAGAAUAGGACAACUUGUUACGUCUGUUAGUUUUGG